GACGAACGCUGGCGGCGUGCCUAAUACAUGCAAGUAGAACGCACAGUUUAUACCGUAGCUUGCUACACCAUAGACUGUGAGUUGCGAACGGGUGAGUAACGCGUAGGUAACCUGCCUGGUAGCGGGGGAUAACUAUUGGAAACGAUAGCUAAUACCGCAUAAUAUUGAUUAUUGCAUGAUAAUUGAUUGAAAGAUGCUAUUGCAUCACUACCAGAUGGACCUGCGUUGUAUUAGCUAGUAGGUGAGGUAACAGCUCACCUAGGCGACGAUACAUAGCCGACCUGAGAGGGUGAUCGGCCACACUGGGACUGAGACACGGCCCAGACUCCUACGGGAGGCAGCAGUAGGGAAUCUUCGGCAAUGGACGAAAGUCUGACCGAGCAACGCCGCGUGAGUGAAGAAGGUUUUCGGAUCGUAAAGCUCUGUUGUAAGAGAAGAACGGGUGUGAGAGUGGAAAGUUCACACUGUGACGGUAGCUUACCAGAAAGGGACGGCUAACUACGUG
rnacentral:rRNA from 1 species